rnacentral:snoRNA from 1 species
CUGCGCUGAUGACCACUUAGGACACCUUUGGAUGAACCAUGAAAACAAAACAUUAUUUCUGAGCAGC